rnacentral:rRNA from 1 species
GACGAACGCUGGCGGCGUGCCUAAUACAUGCAAGUAGAACGCUGAAGGAGGAGCUUGCUUCUCUGGAUGAGUUGCGAACGGGUGAGUAACGCGUAGGUAACCUGCCUGGUAGCGGGGGAUAACUAUUGGAAACGAUAGCUAAUACCGCAUAAUAGUAGAUGUUGCAUGACAUUUGCUUAAAAUGUGCAAUUGCAUCACUACCAGAUGGACCUGCGUUGUAUUAGCUAGUUGGUGGGGUAACGGCUCACCAAGGCGACGAUACAUAGCCGACCUGAGAGGGGGAUCGGCCACACUGGGACUGAGACACGGCCCAGACUCCUACGGGAGGCAGCAGGAGGGAAUCUUCGGCAAUGGACGGAAGGCUGAACGAGCAACGCCGCGUGAGUGAAGAAGGUUUUCGGAUCGUAAAGCUCUGUUGUAAGAGAAGAACGAGUGGGAGAGUGGAAAGUUCACACUGUGACGGUAUCUUACCAGAAAGGGACGGCUAACUACGUG